rnacentral:rRNA from 1 species
AGCCAUUGCUAUCGGAGUCCGAUUUAGCCCUGCUAGUUGUGCGGGUUUAGACCCGCAGCGGAAAGCUCAGUAACACGUGGCCAAGCUACCCUGUGGACGGGAAUACUCUCGGGAAACUGAGGCUAAUCCCCGAUAACGCUUUGCUCCUGGAAGGGGCAAAGCCGGAAACGCUCCGGCGCCACAGGAUGCGGCUGCGGUCGAUUAGGUAGACGGUGGGGUAACGGCCCACCGUGCCCAUAAUCGGUACGGGUUGUGAGAGCAAGAGCCCGGAGACGGAAUCUGAGACAAGAUUCCGGGCCCUACGGGGCGCAGCAGGCGCGAAACCUUUACACUGUACGAAAGUGCGAUAAGGGGACUCCGAGUGUGAAGGCAUAGAGCCUUCACUUUUGUACACCGUAAGGUGGUGCACGAAUAAGGACUGGGCAAGACCGGUGCCAGCCGCCGCGGUAAUACCGGCAGUCCGAGUGAUGGCCGAUCUUAUUGGGCCUAAAGCGUCCGUAGCUGGCUGAACAAGUCCGUUGGGAAAUCUGUCCGCUUAACGGGCAGGCGUCCAGCGGAAACUGUUCAGCUUGGGACCGGAAGACCUGAGGGGUACGUCUGGGGUAGGAGUGAAAUCCUGUAAUCCUGGACGGACCGCCGGUGGCGAAAGCGCCUCAGGAGAACGGAUCCGACAGUGAGGGACGAAAGCUAGGGUCUCGAACCGGAUUAGAUACCCGGGUAGUCCUAGCUGUAAACGAUGUCCGCUAGGUGUGGCGCAGGCUACGAGCCUGCGCUGUGCCGUAGGGAAGCCGAGAAGCGGACCGCCUGGGAAGUACGUCUGCAAGGAUGAAACUUAAAGGAAUUGGCGGGGGAGCACUACAACCGGAGGACCCUGCGGUUUAAUG